rnacentral:ncRNA from 1 species
AUUCAAAUGUUGAAAGGUAUGCAGUAGUAAUUUGUUCCCUGUUCGAGCAGAGAACUGACGGUUGGUGCGAGUCAGUGCAAAGCAAAUUAUGAAUUACGUCCUGGAGUUUCUUCUGCCAAAUCAGAAGACGGUUCAUUACCGUUAUAAAGCCGAGUGGUAACGAUUAUUUGUUACAACAAGGGUGGUACCGCGAAUACAAACCUCGUCCCUUUU